AUGGAUUUAAACCCAUCUAUUUUAUGCUGGAACGUGUGAGGUCUUAACAAUCCAGCAAAGAGGAAGGCGGUCCGUGAGUUCAUCGCAUCGGUGAAAUGUAACAUAGUUUGUCUUCAGGAGACCAAAAUGGAUGUAUUUGACUCGUAUCUCAUUAUGCAAUGUAUUGGACCAUCAUUUGAUGGGUUUUCCUACCUCCCGGCGACUGAGACACGUGGUGGCAUCCUACUCGCG
rnacentral:rRNA from 1 species